CAGUCGCCGCGGGAAUACGAAGGUCCCGAGCGUUGUUCGGAAUCACUGGGCGUAAAGGGAGCGUAGGCGGCGUGGUAAGCCAGAUGUGAAAUCCCGGGGCUCAACCCCGGAACUGCAUCCGAUACUGCCAUGCUAGAGGAUUGGAGAGGUAGCUGGAAUUCUUGGUGUAGCAGUGAAAUGCGUGGAGAUCAAGAGGAACACUCGUGGCGAAAGCGAGCUACUGGACAAUAACUGACGCUGAGGCUCGAAAGCGUGGGGAGCAAACAGGAUUAGAUACCCCUGUAGUCCCUGUCUCUUAUAC
rnacentral:rRNA from 1 species